rnacentral:rRNA from 1 species
GAUGAACGCUAGCUAUAGGCUUAACACAUGCAAGUCGAGGGGAAACGGCAGAGAGUGCUUGCACACUUUGGACGUCGACCGGCGCACGGGUGAGUAACGCGUAUCCAACCUGCCCUUUACUUGGGGAUAACCCGUUGAAAGACGGACUAAUACCCAAUGAUAUUCAUUGAUGACAUCUGAUUUGAAUUAAAGAUUUAUCGGUAUAGGAUGGGGAUGCGUCUGAUUAGCUUGUUGGUGAGGUAACGGCUCACCAAGGCCACGAUCAGUAGGGGUUCUGAGAGGAAGGUCCCCCACAUUGGAACUGAGACACGGUCCAAACUCCUACGGGAGGCAGCAGUGAGGAAUAUUGGUCAAUGGACGAGAGUCUGAACCAGCCAAGUAGCGUGCAGGAUGACGGCCCUAUGGGUUGUAAACUGCUUUUGUUUGGGAAUAAUCGACAUUACGUGUAAUGUUUUGCAUGUACCAUUCGAAUAAGGACCGGCUAAUUCCGUGCCAGCAGCCGCGGUAAUACGGAAGGUCCAGGCGUUAUCCGGAUUUAUUGGGUUUAAAGGGAGUGUAGGCGGUUGGUUAAGCGUGCUGUGAAAUGUGGAUGCUCAACAUCUGACUUGCAGCGCGAACUGGCUGACUUGAGUACACACAACGUAGGCGGAAUUCAUGGUGUAGCGGUGAAAUGCUUAGAUAUCAUGAAGAACUCCGAUUGCGAAGGCAGCUUACGGGAGUGUUACUGACGCUUAAGCUCGAAGGUGCGGGUAUCGAACAGG